CAAAUUAUAGCUUAAAUUUAAAAGUGUUUUAUUUACAUUAAAAAGAUUAUAAAAAUAUAAUUUGA
rnacentral:tRNA from 1 species